rnacentral:rRNA from 1 species
AUUGAACGCUGGCGGCAUGCCUUACACAUGCAAGUCGAACGGCAGCACGGGGCAACCUGGUGGCGAGUGGCGAACGGGUGAGUAAUGCAUCGGAACGUACCUUUCAGUGGGGGAUAACGUAGCGAAAGUUACGCUAAUACCGCAUAUUCUGUGAGCAGGAAAGCAGGGGAUCGCAAGACCUUGCGCUGAUUGAGCGGCCGAUGUCAGAUUAGCUAGUUGGUGAGGUAAAGGCUCACCAAGGCGACGAUCUGUAGCGGGUCUGAGAGGAUGAUCCGCCACACUGGAACUGAGACAGGAUCCAGACUCCUACGGGAGGCAGCAGUGGGGAAUUUUGGACAAUGGGGGCAACCCUGAUCCAGCCAUGCCGCGUGAGUGAAGAAGGCCUUCGGGUUGUAAAGCUCUUUCGGCCGGGAAGAAAUCGCACGGGCUAAUACCCUGUGUGGAUGACGGUACCGGGAUAAGAAGCACCGGCUAACUACGUGCCAGCCGCCGCGGUAACAC